UCCUUAAUAGUUGUUAAAGACGAAGGAUAGAAUAGGACAAUAUUUUCGCAGCACUUUUUAUUUAUUUUUUGUUUGUUUUUACUUUUUUGUUUAUUUUAUCUUAUUUUAUUUUUCGUUUCUUUUUGUUUAGAAAAAAACAGAAAGAGUGAGAGAGAGAGAGAGAGAGAGAGAGAGAGAAGCGUUAACUUCGUUGAAACUAAUUAAAUCACGCCUCUCCCUUUUCUCGAUCGCUACGAUCUUGCUAAGGAGUCUCGAAAGGAGUCGCGAUUUAUUUAGAAACAAAUUACUUCUCUUUCGCCAACCUACCUAUCUGUGCAUCUGAUCGUUUCUUAAGUAAAAGGCACUGGGCGUGUUCGUUUUCAUCGUUUCCGAUAAUAUUUCAAGGAAAAUUAGAAGAGCCAAUUGGAGGACGGGAGCAAUUAACGUUUUAUUUGUUUGUCAUUGCAAGUAGCAAUAAAAUAAAAGAAUUUAGCAUUUGUCACUGGUAAUGGUUAUUUUUUUAUUCGAAAAAGAGAGAGAGAGAAAUAGAGAGAACAAAGUUUCCUCUAUUUGAAUUUUCACAAAUCGACGGAAAAUCUAGAUUUCUCGUAACGUGAUCCCGAGCGUAUCGACGUGCUAUCAAAAAAAAAAAGAAAAAAAAAAGAGAAAAGAGAAAAAAGAAAAGAAAAAAAAAUAAAAGAGAUAGAUAGAUAGAUAGAGAGAAAGAGAGAGAGAGAGAGAGAGAGAGAAGGGGAAGGGAGAGCGUUAGUAAUUAAAAGGUCGAAUGCAACGAUAAAAUUUGGCUGGCAAAAGUGUCUCGCACGGCGACAACAAUGUAUAAAAUGACAGAGCAAUUGUAUCCGUGUAUAUGUCUAUACAUACAUACAUACAUACAUACAUACAUAUGUGUAUAUAUAUACAUACACAUUAAUCUAUGUGUUUGCGUAUGUAUGUGUAUGUGUGGUUGGACGAAGGGUAUCGCCACGAAAUCGCACACGUUGAUCGAUUGACGUGACAACGUGCGUCCCUUUCGAAGGGGUAAAAGGGAGUAUGUCUGUUGCAGGGUGAUUCCAUGCAAAAGGGUUUGCCGUCGAAACGUUCCCGCUGUUACUGUGUUGCUGUUGUUGCUGCUGCUGCUGUUGCUGUUGCUGAUGCUGGUGCUGGUGCUGCCACCAGUUUCGACAAUACUCGAUGGAAAAGCUAGAGGAAGGGGAAGAGGAGGAGGAGGAGGAGGAGAAUCGGAGGAGGGAUUCUGUAUUUUACGUUCUGUAUUUUAUAGCGAGAUACCCUGUGGAUGAGGGCUUGCUAGUAGUAGGGGUAUAUACCCACUGGUGAUAAGGUGAUAAGCUCAAAUGUAUUGGCUCCCAUCAAAUCGCACGCUUUACUGUUAUAGGCAACCCCAUAACCGCCGAUCGUUUCCCCUGUUCCACUUCACCCCUCACCUUCUUCUCUUCCUCCUCUUCCUCCUCCUCCUCCUCCUCCUCCUCCUCCUCCUCCUCCUUCUUCUUCUUCUCCUCCUAUUCCUAUUCCUAUUCCUACUCAUCGUCUUUACUCUCUUCCGUUCUUCUCAAUGAACGUUGUAGUACUCUUUCGUUUUCCAAGGAAAGAAUAACAUUUCCUUCGGAAUGUUUCCGUGUUUCCUCAGCUAGCUAGGUCAUUCUAUUUUUAUUUUCUUUUUUUCUUUUCCUGUUUUUCUUCUCUUUUCUUCUCUUUUCUUCUCUUUUCUUUUCUUUUCGUUUCUUUUUUUUUUUUUCGUUAACAGUGAUUAAUAUGAAGGAAUCGUUGGUGCGAUAGGAUUUGUGUUAAUAACAAAAAUUGAGAACGUUUGGUUGUUCAGUUUGUUUAGCGAUAUCGUUUGUCAUAAAGAACGUUCUAUGCGUUUUGUUUGUCGCGUUAAAAAAAAAAAAAAAAAAAAGAAAAAAAAUUAAAAAAAGAAAAGUAAAUGAACAGAGAAACAAGGAAAUAUGUAUAUAUCUUACGGUAGGUCAGUGCGUUGUUUCUUCUUUUCUUUUUCCUUUUUUUUUUCUUUUUUUUUUGAAUGGUUCAACUAAACCAGGUCACCUAAAUUUCAACACUUUCAGCUAAGUUCAUAGUCCUAAUUCGAAUAUGCUUCUCUAUAAUAUUUUUUUAAAGCUUGUUUUUUUUUUAGAACGACAUAAAACGACGAUAACACACGACGACAUCAUCUUUUCAAAGAACCGUGUUCCUAUUCUAUGGGAAUGCUGCAUGUUUAAUUUAUAUCAUCUAAUGUUUGUUCCUAAUUUAUAUGCAAUGUUUGUUAAAGGUAUACAGUAGUUGUACACCGGGAGCUUACACUCUGAAACCUUGUUGAAAAUUAUCCCAAAACCGUUUCAACGAUGGCGUAGACGACGCAUGACUCUGAUUAUGAGACAACCUUCCAUAUGCGUGUGGGAAGUUUUAUUCUUUCAUGGAGGCCAUAUCAGGGAGAGAGAUAAAAAGAGAGAGAGAGAGAGCAAGCAACGAGUUUUUCUACAAAGAUUCAUAGCCGCGAUGUACUAGCGCAGAGAAAAUUAAAUUCCUGACCCCCCGCGGAACGAUCCUUUGGUGGUGGAUGUGAAAUUGCAAAUAAAUUACGUUCAAUCUUCAUCAUCGAGAGCGGAGUUGGAAUGAGGUAGGGAUAAUAAUCAGAAGGAAAGAGAGGAGAGAUGAAAUAUGAAUGAAGAAGAAGAAGGAAAAAAAAGAGCAGGAGACAAAAGAAGAAAAAAAAAAAGAAAAGGAACAAGAAAGAAAGGUCAGGAUAAUUCUUUUUGAAGGAUUUCAAUUUGGUAAGUUUCCUUUUAGCUUAAACCGAUUGCCUUUUCUCGAAUUAUGAGGAAGAUAAAAAAAAAAGAAGAAAAAAGGAUACUUUUCUCUCUCACAUAUAUUUCAAUGUGUCUUUAGACAUUUUCGUUCUUUCUUCGUCAUUUAAUUUUUUCUUUUUUUUUUUUUUUGAGACCUAGACGUAGGAGAGAAAAAACGCACGAGAGUUUUGUAAUCAUGAGCGACGUACAUUUUCUUUUUUCUCCAAUUAAAUUUAUUUUUUUUUAUUUCUCUUUCUUUUUCGAACCUAUUAAAGUUCUCACUUAGAAAAAAUUGAAACGAGAAUAAGAGUGUAUAAUAUAUAUUUAUCCGAAGGUUAUAUCUUUAAAAUGAUUAAAUUAGACAGAAACGAGUCGGAAUUUCUCAUCCUAGCAGUAUCUUUUAUUAUUCAUUUUUGUUUUAUGACCGGCCGCAAAAGGUCUUCUCGUUAAUAGUAAUGUGACUACAAACGAGAUUACGGAAAGUUAAUUAUAGUAUCGUAAAGGUAAACGUUCAAAUGUGGAAGUAAGUAAAAGUAAUAGUAAUAGUGUUAGUUACUAAUAAUGACUUUUUCCAAUUACUAUUCGUCUUCUUUGAAGGUAAAGGAAAAAGGACGAAAGAAAGAAAGAAAGAAAGAAAGAAAAAAAAAACAAACAGGAAAAAAAAGGGAACGAAGUAGAAAAGCAACGCGUUCGAGAAUACUUAUACACGGUGCAUCUUCAGGAGCUAGCUGAAAAGGAGAGAAAAGAGUAAAGGAAGGAAGAGUAGGAACAGGAUCGGAGGAUAGUCCCGUAUAAGAUGGCUUCAUCAAUCUUCGGCAAGGGGAUGACGGUAACACCCGAAGGAGGAAACGUUCUCGCGGUUCUUUAUCCACGAAACCUUCCCUAAGAGAAAUAGAUGAAUAGAGAAAGAGACAGAGCCAAGGAGAAAGAGAAACAGAGAGACAAAAGAAGAGACGAAAGAAAAAGAGAGGAAAGAUGGGAGAAAAAUUGGCUGCAGGGAUCAUCGAGAAGAAAGUAGAGGAAGACUGGACGAGAGAUAGCCGAUGUGACCUUAUUCCCUGUAGAAAUAUUGAAAAAGGAAAUGAGACUAUGUAUUGGAUACGGACACGCAUAUAUAUAUAUAUAUACUAAGAGAAAGAGACAGAGAGAGAAAGAAACAAAACAGAAAGAGAGAAAAAGAGAGAAAGAAAAAAAAUACAGAGAGAGAGAGAGAGAGAGAGAGAGAGAGAAAUAAACAAAAGAGAGAGAGAGAGAGAACAGUCUUCGUAAAGGAGAUAAAAGGAAAAUCUCAGGCCGUGAGAUCGGCUUGGAAAGACGUCGUAAGUAUGUACGACAAAACGGUUGCGACCUGAGGGACUGCACGAACCACCACCACCAUCACCACCAUCACCACCACCACCAUCACCACCAGCGCAACUUUGCAAUAAGUGUCGCGUUACGAGCCACGAAAAUGGACGAGGAUGCGAAGCGUUUCAAUCAAAAAUGGAUGGAAAUAAGAAAAGUAAAAGGAAAUAAUCCUUGGAAAAUGCAGUUUGAUGCAAUUAUUGAAAAAUGAGAGAGAAUAAUUAGAAGAAAAGGAAAUGUUUCUUUGAUAAUUAUCAUAAUUGAGAGAACAGAAAUAAGAAGGAAAGAGGAAGAAAAAAAAAGGUAAUAAUAAUAUAUUAAAUAUUAUCAAAAAUAUUGCGCAAUUAUGUAUAUAUAAACAUUUAAUUAAUAGAUCUGUAUAACAUAAGUGGGACACGUUAUUUUAACUCCAAUAUAACCGUUUCCACAUAGAUAUAUACGCAUAAAUACAUAUACUCAUAUAUCUACGUUUAUCGAUAUCCGAAACGAUACAUAUCAUACUAUACCAUUUCUCGAUAGGUGUCGGAACGAUCCGGAAAACGGCAAUAAGAUCGAUUUAUAUCUCGCGAGAUAUCCCGUGGGGGAGGUUCUCGCGCGAGAGUUCGAAUGAAAUUUUCAUCGACGUGCAUCUCGCUCCCUCUCUCUCUCUCUCUCUCGUACGAUAUCAAAACGUGAUCUAUUUAUCCGCGAAGGAUGUUGGAAAGAACCUUGCGAGGGUUGA